AGUGAACGCUGGCGGUAGGCCUAACACAUGCAAGUCGAACGGCAGCACAGUAAGAGCUUGCUCUUACGGGUGGCGAGUGGCGGACGGGUGAGGAAUACAUCGGAAUCUACUUUUUCGUGGGGGAUAACGUAGGGAAACUUACGCUAAUACCGCAUACGACCUACGGGUGAAAGCAGUGGAUCUUCGGACCUUGCGCGAUUGAAUGAGCCGAUGUCGGAUUAGCUAGUUGGCGGGGUAAAGGCCCACCAAGGCGACGAUCCGUAGCUGGUCUGAGAGGAUGAUCAGCAACACUGGAACUGAGACACGGUCCAGACUCCUACGGGAGGCAGCAGUGGGGAAUAUUGGACAAUGGGCGCAAGCCUGAUCCAGCCAUACCGCGUGGGUGAAGAAGGCCUUCGGGUUGUAAAGCCCUUUUGUUGGGAAAGAAAAGCAGCAGGUUAAUACCCCGCUGUUCUGACGGUACCCAAAGAAUAAGCACCGGCUAACUUCGUG
rnacentral:rRNA from 1 species